GACGAACGCUGGCGGCGUGCCUAACACAUGCAAGUUGAGCGACGAACCAGGGCUUGCCCUGGGGCAAAGCAGCGAACGGGUGAGUAACACGUGGGUAACCUACCCCGAUAACUGGGACAACCCGAGGAAACUCGGGCUAAUACCGGAUGUGCUCACUGGACUUCGGUUCAGUGCGUAAAGGAAGCUUCGGCCUCCGUAUCGGGAGGGGCCCGCGGCCCAUUAGUUUGUUGGUGAGGUAACGGCUCACCAAGACCGCGAUGGGUAGCUGGUCUGAGAGGACGAUCAGCCACACUGGGACUGAGACACGGCCCAGACUCCUACGGGAGGCAGCAGUGGGGAAUCUUGCGCAAUGCGCGAAAGCGUGACGCAGCAACGCCGCGUGGGGGAAGAAGGCCUUCGGGUUGUAAACCCCUUUCAGGAGGGACGAAGGUUCGGCGGUGAAUAGCCGUCCGGACUGACGGUACCUCCACAAGAAGCCCCGGCUAACUACGUG
rnacentral:rRNA from 1 species